rnacentral:lncRNA from 1 species
CGCCUACUCCUCCGGCGUACAAGCCCCCCACCCCGAGCCCCCCGCCUCCGCCGUACCACCACUAAGAAGAUCCACCACUCUGUGAAGUUGGGAGCCCAGGUACGUGCAAACAACAUCAGUCUACACUCUACAGUCUUGCAUGGACGCACCAUUUGUCCGAAUAGCACCAACUAACUCGGACAACGUUUGUGUUUGCAGGAUGCGGUCGAGAAGAGUUGUGCGAGCAGGCCAAGAAGAGCCACGUACGGCGUCGUUGAUCCUCCUCCGGUGUGUGUUGCUGCCGAACUAGGGCCGAUCUCUGAGGAGAUGGAAUAAUGCAGAUGGCUCCCAUUAGUUAUCUUACCAGCUUAUCAUUUGUGUUCGUCCAGUCUUAGCGUCUGUGUUGCUAGCGUGGCAAUGUGCCAGUGUCACUGUAAAACCAUUAAUCACUAUGGAAAUGGAAGUAAAAGGUGUUGUUUUCCGUUGCAUGUAACGUGAUCUUGUCUCUGUUUUGCUGUUCUUCUAUAUCUUCUUGGCCUAUGGGUGACGAGAUGUGAUGUUUGCAUGCCAGUGAGUUUACAUAAAAUAUGUGACAUUGAGUACUACGCUCUGCUCGCGCAGGCGAAGCAUGCAUGCCUGCAAGUCCUGCGGCGCAGUGAGCUGUCUUCCUCAGGCUACAGUAUCCCACACCAGUGUUCUGCAGCAUAUGCCCAUGCGGAGUACUAGUAUAUAAGUCUUGCCGUCUAGGUGCAUCCCGCGGCCAUAGGCACAGGCGCACCCGCCCCGCGAGAACAUUUCUCGGGUGCAUGUUUCAGCCUAGUGGUUCCAUUUAAAAAUCUUAGCGUUCUAAAAAUUUCAUACUCCACAAGGUUUCAGGGAAGCGAUGAAGCGAGAGAGACCCGAACCCUAGAGCAGGGGUGCUUACUGUACCUGCACAGGCUAUAAUGGAGUAUUGGCCAUGGGUUGGUGCAAACUUACGAUAAUCAAUUGGGUCGCAGCAGCCUUGUUUCCUAUCGCAGCUCAGUGUGAAACCUCGGCUGCUGGGGGUUCCAGUUAUAGCAUGCAUGAUGCCAACAGGUCUGACCGUAAUGAAUCGGAGGAGCCAGGUGAAAGAAGACAAGAACAACAGUUGGCACAGUAAAUUAACCUGACAUGCCGACGAUGUGCUUUAUACAAAUCUUGAUUUCAUUUCAGCUAAAUAUGGUAAUCUAACACACUGAUUUGAAAACCUUGAUCUUUGGUAUGGCAUGAUUUGGAAAACAAAUGGAGAAGCAGAUUGUUUUCCUAAAAAUGCUUAUAUUCAUACAUAAUAUAGAAGUUUAUGUCAUUGAAUUAUUUUGCACUGGAUACUUCUCAUUGAGUUUGAAGUUUUAAUUCUCACAGACAAUAUGGACAAAAUGAAGUAGCCCACCUUUUCGUUCCUGCCUGUUCACACGUACUUCAUGGGUUUUCUUGGGCACAUGGGUAUGUCGAUUGGUGUCAGAGAUCCGUGGAUUUUACUUGAGGCCACCAUACUGUCAGUGACACGAAAAGGCACGAAACAUGCAAGAUAAAAGCUCCAGGAGAAAAGCAAGCGCCAGAACCAAGAAAGGCAAAUUAUUUUCACGGAAAUGAUGCUGCCCACAACUUCACAACGAAAGCGGUUUUGCAAUGUCGUUCGUUUUUCGCUCGCGAGAAAUUCCUCACCUUCCCGAAACAAGGACAGAAGUUCACAAGAUGGCAAAGAUGGAAGGAAUGCCAGAGGAUUUGAUUAUGAGUAGCAUGGCUCUCCUCUAAUGUUAACCAUUGUUCAACUAUCAAGGAGAUAAAAGGACCAUGUGCGAGAAGACGUAGGAGGGCACUAGCAUGGAUUUGGUAGGUUCCUGUUGGACCUUAGUACGUUGUUUUGCUCAAGCAUUGACCUGUUACUACCAAAUGCAACGUUUGAUAAUCAGGAUUCAAGCCUAUAUAGCACUCUAGCACAAGAAAGAAAACCAGUCCCUACUCUAUAGACGAGGGCACGACAAACGAAACAAUGGCGCUUGCAAUCUUAUCAGGCAUAUGAUUUUCUGAGAGGUGAGAAUAUAAAGGACGGCGCCUUUUAGGAAACUUGGUGUUACUGUUACGAACCUGAACUUCCAGCUGUAAGCAGCGGGCAAUGUACCUACCUGUGUAGUAAGAGUAGCAAGUAAUAAAAGGGGGAAGAAACUGGUCCUGACCCAACCCCCAUUAGGGUUUUGAGGCAACACGGCGUGAAGUGCAGAAGGGCGAGGACAUUGCUGUUCACCCGCAUGACGGAACCAGAAGGAUCCAAUAAAGCUACAGAAAACAAAUGCUAGAUGGCUCAAGGAGUACGGAUCAGAACCGGGUCCAUACGAGCUUCUGCCAAGUGAGGCCCGCGAGGUUGUGGAACUCGCUUGCCGCGCUGAUUGCUGCAGAUCCAGCUACUGCAUCUUUACUAGUACUACUAUACAAAAUUUGAAAAUAGUGGAUACAGUACAAAUACGAAGUAUAGUGUAGUAGCUCGAUCCUUCAUCCGGGAAAACUCGGAAGGAGCAGUAGCGUGCGGUGCAGCAACAUUCAUUCCAGUCAUCGGAGCAGUUACAUCUACUAGGAGCCUACUCCCUGCUGUAUGAGCAAAAAGCUGGAACAAAUUGAAAGCGUAUGGACAGAGCCAAGGAGCAUCAUCAAUUGAGUCACCGGAUUCACGUCGUCGGCCACUGCGCCCGCCGCUGACGAGCGGCAGUAGGGCAGUAGGGCCCCGGGCAUUGACCGGCAAGCAAGGGCAUGCAUCGCAUUCACGCCGACAGCACGGGCGGCGUGGGUUGAACUGAACCCGGCAAGCAAGGCGCAAAGCAACAAGAAGAAAGCCGGGGCGAGAGGGGCGCAGGAGCAAUUGAUUAUGGGAGUGCGAUGCGGAGAAUGAAACAAGUUCCACCAAAGUAAAGAGAGAAUGAAACAAGUUUUUUUUUUUUUGAGGGAAUGAAACAAGUUGAUUAAUGGCCUCAUGCAUCUUUCAAUAAGCCUCCUUUUUCAAAAAAAGAAAAACUUUUAAUGGGACAGAAUUCAUUAAUUUUUUGCAGGUUAUCUACAGAGCUACAGCCUGGAUCCGUAUUUGGUCGUUACUCAAUCAUGCGGACUACAUGGAGUUUAUGGUUAUUGGGUGCAGCCGAUGGAAGACGGUUGCACGGGCUAUCUUCAGCCGAUUUGGAUGGCGAGCUAAUAAUAAGCUAGGUGUGUAGGCAUCGUAGCCUGUUUUUUAUAGUCGGAUGUGGCGCUUUCUCGCCGGGUGUGGUGUUUUACAGUUUUGUUUAUCUUUUUUCUUAGAUUUUGAGAUUCCGUGGAACUUAAGACCUAUUGUUAGAGAUAUAUUUGGGAUACUUGUAUUUGGUAGUCUAGGACUUGUAAUCCGUCUCCUACCUUAUCUUCAGGAGAGGCGUCUUGCCCUCCAAAUCUUGUACUCAAUAUAUACUCGCCCUUGAGGCUCAAUAAUACAUCAAUCACAUUUCACCAAACCUCUCUCCUCCUUCUAACAUGGUAUCAGUUUCCGGGUUCUAAACCCUAGCCGCCGCCGCUUCCGCACCCGGGCGCUGCCCCUGGGGCGGUCGGCCUCCAUGACCGCCGCCGGGGGCCGCGCCACCCGUACCUAGGGUUCGUCCGCCGGCCGUGUUGGUCGGCUGCCCUAGAGAGUCUUUUUUCCCGAUCCUUUGAUUCGGAUUUUCUCUCUCUCGCCGGUCGCCUUGAGCGGCGUCUAUUUUUUGGUUUUCCGGUCUAUGUGAUCCGGUUUGCGUCGCCCACCGCCGUCGUCGACCCUGAGCGCCUCUACUCCAACACCGGCGCGAUUGGCCGGCUUCUUCACCGACCCGGCGGCCUCGCGCGUCAUCCGCGCGUCAGCCCGUCGGUCGCCCCGACUCGGCGGCCUCGCGCGUCGUCCGCGCGUCGGCCCGCCGUUCGCGCGACGGCCCACCCGUCGAUCUACGCCGACCGCCACGGCCCUGCUCCGACCGGGACUCCUGCAUCACCCCGACCCGGCGGCCUCGCGCCAUGUGGCGGCCAAUCAUAGCCGCCCUGCCGCCCGCCGCCGCCGGCUUCAUCUCGGACUUCGCCGCCACCACGCCUCCACCGAGCGGCGUCCCCGACCUCGCAUGCGAUCGGCUUGAUCACCCGCUCGCCGCCGCGAUCCGCCUCAUCUACGCCGCGCGACCGACAUGGCCCGUCGGUUACGCGCGCCUCCGCAGGUCCUGUGAAGAUCGUCCCCGAGUUCAGCGCGCCUCUCCACCGAUCGAGUAUCGGGCUGCCGCUGCAUCGCCCCGUCGGGCCGCAGCGCCGCCGCCCCGUGGUUCUUCUCCCGGCUGCUCCGACCCGCGUCACCGCUGCGUCGCCCCUUCGGGCCCAGAGGCCGUCAGCUCCAGGUCGUCCCCGUGGCCGCACCGACCCUCGCGCCGCCGCUGCGUCGCCCCGUCGGGCCGUAGCGNNNNNNNNNNNNNNNNNNNNNNNNNNNNNNNNNNNNNNNNNNNNNNNNNNNNNNNNNNNNNNNNNNNNNNNNNNNNNNNNNNNNNNNNNNNNNNNNNNNNNNNNNNNNNNNNNNNNNNNNNNNNNNNNNNNNNNNNNNNNNNNNNNNNNNNNNNNNNNNNNNNNNNNNNNNNNNNNNNNNNNNNNNNNNNNNNNNNNNNNNNNNNNNNNNNNNNNNNNNNNNNNNNNNNNNNNNNNNNNNNNNNNNNNNNNNNNNNNNNNNNNNNNNNNNNNNNNNNNNNNNNNNNNNNNNNNNNNNNNNNNNNNNNNNNNNNNNNNNNNNNNNNNNNNNNNNNNNNNNNNNNNNNNNNNNNNNNNNNNNNNNNNNNNNNNNNNNNNNNNNNNNNNNNNNNNNNNNNNNNNNNNNNNNNNNNNNNNNNNNNNNNNNNNNNNNNNNNNNNNNNNNNNNNNNNNNNNNNNNNNNNNCCGUCAUCCCGACCCGCCUGCCGCCGCUGCGUCGCCCCUUGGGCCGUAGCGCCGCGGCCCGCGGUCCGCUCCGCCGUCACCAAGCGUCGACCUCCCGUGGUAUGCACCGUGCUGUCUUCCUUGGCGCGGGAACGCCACCGUCCGCACCGGUCUUCGUCACGCUGUCAGGGUUCUUCGCCUACUUCGAGCACCGCCGCCGCACUCCUAACUUAGUCGCCGCCGCCGCCGUCAGGCCGCCGCCGCCGCUCUUCUUUGGCCGCCGCCGCGGCUACCUCCGUAGCUGCCGCCGCCGCCCGUCCACCCCACUUCGUCUUCGUCCAGCACCAACUCGUCGCCAGCGUCGCCGUCAUCUACCCCGACCGCUUCAUCUACUCCGACAACCGCGGACGACAUUGGCCCCGCGCCGAUUGGCGCCGCAACCGUCGUCGAGUCCUUCUCUGUUGGCCUCUCUGAUCUCUUCGACAUGGCGUACAGCUCGUGCAGGUCCCAGUCUACGCAUGCCCGGUGCUGGGAACACCGCCGCGUGCCUUCGUCCACGACGUGUUCCCGGGCCUGGCAAGCCUGGUGCGGUGCUUCGUCAACUUCGUCUUCGACCGUCUACACAUGCCCGGUGCUGGCAACACUGACGCAUGCCUUCGUCUACGAUGUGUCCCCGGGGUUGGCAAACCCGGCGCGACGCGUCGUCAACACCAUUCUCCUUCCUGGCGCAUCACUUCUUUGACACCACUGUGCCCAUGACUAACUCGGCGCCUCCUUGCGCCUGCUGCUCCACAGCAACUCCAUCGACACCGGCUACCCCGACUCGACAUCGACCACGGCGUUCUUCGCACAGCUACCUCGACCACGGCUACACCACCCUACGCUCUCGGCUACAUCGACAUCGGCACAAAGGGCUAUCAUCCGCUUGAGCAACUCGUCGGCUUCCUCUACAGUCAACGCGUCCGCGACGCGACACCGUCCACGACGCUCCCGCUAGGACUACGGGAGGAUGUCAGUCCGUCGGCUGCUAUUCUCUCCAGUCUGACCGUCCGCGACGCUCCUGUUGUUCGCAACGCUACUGCUACGACUGCGGGGGGAUGUUAGAGAUAUAUUUGGGAUACUUGUAUUUGGUAGUCUAGGAUUUGUAAUCUGUCUCCUACCUUAUCUUCAGAAGAGGCGUCAUGCCCUCCAAGUCUUGUAAUCAAUAUAUACUCGCCCUCGAGGCUCAAUAAUACAUCAAUCAUAUUCCACCAAACCUCUCUCUUUCUUCUAACACCUAUUAAUAAUAUGGUUACAUGCAUCGAUUGAUGCAGAGGCUGGAGGUAAGCCUCCUUUUGAAAAAGAAAAAAAACCAAUUACGUACAGAGAGUUGGGGCGGACGGUGCCCUCCCUCGGCUCCACGCUGCCAAUAGGCUGCAAAAUGGCGAAGCUGCGACGAGACUUCCGGCGACCACAGUCCACGGCGUUUAGCACGCACACGUCUUUGGUUUCUACUGUACACUAUUUGCAACGUUUUCUAUUCCAGACUGAUUGCUCGUUUGCCUCUAGUUCCUUCCAUGAUCCAUCCUUUGAGCGCGGCUCCGAUCAUCGAUGGCCCCGACUGCCGACAUGGAUGGGCGUGUGCAGUGCCGCCGAUGAGUACCAUACCGACGAACAACAGCCCAACAUGGUUCGCUAGCCUCGAUCUAUUGCCUGUUGCACAGAUGCACCGAUGGGCACACGACAUUGUUCCCUGGAAAGAAAGAUGGAACGCUGCACUUUGACAGAGAUCAGUCGCCAAGCACACAUGCACGCACGAGCCAACUGAUUCCAGUGCGAUUUGCCCAAAUAGUUCGCUUCUGAAAGCUGAAUGCGUGAUGCAUGCAUCGUGCACACGGAAAGAAGAAACAUCUUUCGCUUUACUCCGGCCGUGUGACCGUGCCUGUAUGUACACACAACUGGCUAACAAGACACUAGGGUGGGUGGAUCGGUGUCAGUCUAGCUAAGACACGCCCUCAUGCAAGGCUAGGAAAUGCGCCCAGAUCUCACUGUCGUGGGAAUGCCCAGAUCUAACUAAACCAUUGCUGAGCUUACCUAUCUUUUACGGUUGACCGUGCCAGCAGAAGAUGCUGUUUUCAUGAGGGGCUGGGUUCGUCCGGUUCCGCCUUGUUCAGUAUAAGGAUUAUUAGAAAGUAUAUGAUAGAGUAGGAUUUGGUCCUGCCUUGUUUUAUAUUUUAAAUUGGUCUUUGUAUAUAUAUAUAUGCCCACGAGGCUCAAGCAAUAAACAAAUCAUUUCACUAAAAUUCCUUCUCUCCCUUCUAACAUGGUAUCUAUCUUAAGUCGAUCCUAAACCCUGGCCGCCGCCGCUUUCGCACCCGCGCGCCGUUCCUGGGGCGGUCGGCCUCCAUGACUGCCGCGGGGGCCGCGCCGCCCAUACCUAGGGUUCGUCCGCCGGUCGUGUUGACCGGCUGCCCUAGAGAGUCUUUUUCCCGAGCCUUGCUCCGGGGUUUUCUCUCUCCCGCCGGUCAUCUUGAUCGCGCGUUUUGUUUUUGUUUUCCGACCUAUACUUGAUCGGUUUGCGUCGCCCACCGCCGCCGUCGACACCCCGCGCUUCUAUUCCGACACCGGUGCGACUUGUCGGCUACUUCACCGACCCGGCGGCCCCGCGUGAUAGGCGGUCCCUCAAGGCCGUCGUCCGCGCGCCGGCCCGCCCGUCGCCCUGCGCCGGCCGCCACCCUGCGCCGGCCGUCACCGCCCUGCUUCGACCGGGACACCUGCAUCGCCAACACCCGGCGGCCUCGCGCCAUGCGACGGCCAAUCAUAGUCGUCGCUCGCGCGCCGGCCCGCCCAUCGAUCCACGUCACCCGCCUCCGUCGUGUCUGCACGGGGGCCCGACGAUCUACCUCGCCGGCCUCGUCCUCGGCUGCGUCGGGACGGCUGCGUCAGGCUCGUCGGCUGCCUCAACUCGGGCGCAGCUGCUCCUUUGGUCGCUCGGGCCUCGCUGCCCGGGCGCCGGCGUUGCUUUGGCAACCCGGGUGCCAGUGCUGACAAGCUCGUCCGCACGACGUCCCACGCUGUCUGUCGUCGCCGGCUUCAUCUCGGACCUCACGCGCGAUCGGCUUGAUCACCCGCUCGCCGCCGCGAUCCGCCUCAUCUACGCCGCGCGACCGACCUGGCCCGUCGAUUAUGCGCGCCUCCGCAGGUCCCGUGAAGAUGGUCCCCAAGUUCAGCGCGCCUUUCCCCCGAUCGAGCAUCGGGCUGCGCUGCAUUGCCCCGUCGGGCCGCAGCGCCGCCGCCCCGUGGUUCUCUCGCGGCUGCAUCGACUCAUGCGUCGCCGUUACGUCUCCCCUGCGGGCCGAUACGCGGUACCCGCCGCCGCCCCGAGGCCGUCCCCGCGGUUGCACCGACUCGCGAACCGCCGUUGUGUCGCCCCUUUGGGCCGCAACGUCGCGGCCCGCGGUCCCCGCCGCCGCCCAGAGGUCUUCCCGCCGUCGCCCCGACCCGCCUGCCGCCGCUGCGUCGCCCCUUCGGGCCGUAGCGCCGCGGCCCCCGGUCCACUCCGCCGUCCCCACACGUCGACCUCCCGUGGUAUGCGCCGCGCCGUCUCCCUUGGCGCGGGAACGCCAUCGUCCGCGUUGGUCUUCGUCACGUUGUCAGGGUUCUUCGCCUACUUCGAGCACCGCCACCGCACUCCUAACCUAGCCGCCGCCGCCGCUACCUUCGUAGCCGCCGCCGCCGCGCGUCCACCCCCUUCUUCUUCAUCCAGCACCAGCCCGUCGCCAGCGUCGCCAUCAUCUACCCCGACCACUUCGUCUACUCCGACCACCGUUGGUGACAUCAGCCCCGCGCCGAUGGACGCCGCAACCAUCGUCGAGUCCUUCUCUGGUGGCCUCUCCGACCUCUUCGACAUGGCGUACAGCUCGUGCAGGUCCCAGUCUACGCAUGUCCGGUGCUGGCAACACCGUCGCGUGCCUUCGUCCACGACGUGUCCCCGGGCCUGGCAAGCCUGGUGCGGCACUUCGUCAACUUCGUCUUCGUCCGUCUACGCAUGCCCGGUGCUGGCAACACCGGUGCGUGCCUUCGUCCAUGAUGUGUCCCCGGGCUUGGCAAACCCGUCGCGACGCGUCGUCAACAACAUCUUCUUCCCGGCGCACCACUACUUCGACACCACUGCGCCCAUGACUAACUCGGCGCCACCUUGCGCCCGCGGCUCCACGGCGACUUCCUCGACACCGGCCACCCCGACUCGACAUCGACCACGGCAUUCUUCGCACGGCUACUCUCGACCACGGCUCCACCACCCACGCUCUCGGCUACCUCGACAACAGCACAAAGGGCUACCGCCUGCUUGAGUAACCUCGUCGGUUUUCACUCCAGCCACGACUCCGCAAUGCGUCGACNNNNNNNNNNNNNNNNNNNNNNNNNNNNNNNNNNNNNNNNNNNNNNNNNNNNNNNNNNNNNNNNNNNNNNNNNNNNNNNNNNNNNNNNNNNNNNNNNNNNNNNNNNNNNNNNNNNNNNNNNNNNNNNNNNNNNNNNNNNNNNNNNNNNNNNNNNNNNNNNNNNNNNNNNNNNNNNNNNNNNNNNNNNNNNNNNNNNNNNNNNNNNNNNNNNNNNNNNNNNNNNNNNNNNNNNNNNNNNNNCGUCGGCUUGCCUUCGGAUUCUUCUCCAGUCUCACCGUCUGCGUCGCUACCGUUGUGACUGCGGGGGAUGUUGAGUACAAGGAUUAUUAGGAAGUAUAGGAUAGACUAGGAUUUGAUCCUGUCUUGUCUUGUACUCCUAUAUAUAUAUGCCCACAAGGCUAAAGCAAUAAACAAACUAUUCCACCAAAAUUCCCUCUCUCCCUUCUAACACACCUAAUCUUAACAAUCAGACAUCUACUGCACAUCACAUGGCUUGAAGCAUAGCCAUUUAGUACAAUGGGCAAUAUGCUUUUUUUGACGUGGACAGCGUUGCAGGAGCAGGUAAAAAAUUUGACUCGUAAGAAAACUGGCCUUGGUGGAUUGUUUCCUCUCACUAAUAAUUUGGAUCAAACCAGAAUUGGCAGUGUACUUCGUCCAACAGAUGAAAUAGUGCUGCUUUUUAACACUGAACUACUGUUGCUUAAACCGCUGUGAUCACCAUCUUCCAAACCGGCAUAAUAACAGGCGUCAAACGCAAAUUCUUGUCUGCCCACCCGACGUCUUUUGCGUGGAUUGGUUUCGCCCAGACUACCGACAAAGGCCUCCCGCUGUCCUGCAUCCGGAGAACUCUUCCGUCCAAAAGGGCUACCUACCAUGUCAAAGCCCACCCCGUGUUCUGUAGUUUGGUCCAAGCACACCCACAGCCGCCGCAAGACAAACAAGUCUUUUAAGGUCCAAGCCCAUUAGAAUGCCAGUCUUCCUUUUUGUUAGAAGUCUAUACUGUUUAUUGACUAAAAUGGCAGGAAUGCUGCCCAUUCCUUAACAGAAAACAAUUUUACAUAAUAUUUGUGCGAGUUUCUCAAAAAGAAAAACGUAAUAUUUAUGUGAAAACCUGCAAAGAGUAAGCCGAAGAUAACUAACACACCAAAAGGAUUAUUGAACUAGUAUGAAUUUUCUUCAGGAGCUAAGAGGUAUUUUGGGCAUAUCUCCAAAAUGCCUUGACGACGUUUUCCGGAAGAAAAAAAACGACAUUACUACUUGGCGCAAGGAUGAGGAAACACAUACGUAUUUGACUGUAUAGAUGAAAAAGAAAAGAUUUAUAGUAACUAUAAUUGAGAUUCUGAUGCGAGGUUGGGAGGUCUGAUUUGAGGUAAACAUGUUUUUCGAAAAGGGGACUCCUCGGCCUCUGCAUCAGAAUAAUGCAUACGGCCCUCUUAUUAAACAAAUAAAUAGGUUCGAACAAGGUCUUAAAGUCUCCAAAUAAAAAAAGAGCUCACACAGAGCCAAAAAGGCUAGAAGACAGACUAGCCAAAUAAAGGACACCACAACCCGCUGGCAAAAGAGAGAUAUGUAAACUAAUUGCCUAUCCUAUUACAUGACCGUCAUCCAAACCGGUUGAAUAUAUUCCGAGCUACCGUCUUCCAGCGGAUAGAUCCAGUAACCAAAUGCUCCCUGGCCUCCGUCGGAGUGAGUAGCGACCACGAACGGAUCAACGCCGUGGCUCGGAAAAUAACCUGCAAAAAAUGAAUGCGUGUUGUCCUGUUAAAAACCAAAUCAAUUCUGCAAUUCCAGAGAGCCCACAACAAGGCGCAGACUCCUACGCGAAUAUGUCCCGCUAAUUCGGGCUCUAUCCCGUUAAGCCACGUUCCAAAUAACGUGUUGACAGAAUUCGGUGGAGUAAUAUUAAAAGCAAUAUGGACCGUCCGCCAUAAAACUUUGGCUAGCGGGCAAUCAAGAAAAAGGUGUUUGCUCGUCUCAUCCCGAUAACAGAAACUACACCUAGUAAUCCUGUCCAAUUACGCUUUGUCAAGUUGUCCUUGGUUAAAAUAACUUGUUUAUGGACAAACCACAUAAACACUUUGAUUUUCAAAGGAACUUUGACAGCCCAAACAUGUUUGAAACUAGGAAUCAAGCUUGAAUUGAUAACAUCAACAUAUAUUGAUUUAACUGAAAAUAUUCCAGACCUAGUAAGCUUCCAGCGUAAUUCAUCGGGUUGUUGAGAAAGCUGAACCUCCAUCAGUCUACUUACUAGACGGAGCCAUUCUUCCCAACGAUUGCCCACUAGCGCCCUUCUGAACUGAAUAUUAAGGGGGAUAGAUUGAAAUACCGUUGCAACGAACACCUCACGUCGUUGAACAAUACGAUACAAAGACGGGUAUUGAAUGGCAAGGGGUGUCCCUCCGAGCCAAGUAUCCUCCCAGAAUCGCGUACUAGCACCGUUACCAAUAAUAAACUUUGUCCUAUUAAACAAGGACAAUUUGACUUUCAUAAGCCCUUUCCAAAAAGGUGAGUCAGUCGGCCUUACUGUCACCUGAGACAAAGUUUUGGUUUGAAGAUACUUGCUAUGGAGAAUUUGCGCCCAAGUGGCAUCAAGUCUCACUUGAUAACUUCCACAACCACUUACUGAGAAGACAUCUGUUCUUAACUUCAAGAUUCUCGAUACCAAGACCCCCUUGGUCUUUCGGUCUACAGAUGAUAUCCCAUUUGGCUAGACGGUAUUUUCGUUUUAGUUCAUCACCCUGCCAAAAGAAUCGUGAUCUAUAAAAGUCCAGUCUUUUCCUGACUCCAACUGGGACUUCGAAGAAAGACAAAAGAAACAUAGGCAUACUCGUGAGAACAAAAUUUAUCAGAAUUAGUCGACCUCCGUAUGACAUGAGCUUGCCCUUCCAGCAACUCAGUUUCUUUUCAAAUCGAUCCUCGAUGCACUUCCAUUCUCUGUUUGUCAGCCUACGAUGGUGGAUUGGUAUUCCUAAGUAUGUGAACGGUAAAGCCCCCAAAUCGCACCCAAACAAUUGCCUAUAUGCCUCUUGUUCGUCCUUGGCUCUACCAAAGCAGAACAACUCGCUUUUGUGAAAGUUAAUCUUUAACCCGGUCAAUUGUUCAAAUAGGCAUAACACCAGCUUCAUAUUUCUCGCUUUGGCCAAGUCAUGUUCCAUAAAGAUGAUUGUAUCAUCGGCGUACUGAAGGAUGGACACACCUCCAUUAACGAGAUGAGGAACCAGGCCACCCACUUGACCAGCUUCCUUAGCCCUUCCUAUCAUAAUUGCCAACAUGUCAACUACAAUGUUGAACAGGAUAGGGGACAUCGGAUCCCCUUGUCUCAGGCCUUUAUGUGUCUGGAAAUAAUGACCUAUUUCGUCAUUCACUUUAAUUCCAACACUCCCUUUUUGCGUAAAUGAUUCAACUUGGCGGCGCUAGGCUUCAUCAAAACCUUUCAUACGCAAUGCCUGUUGGAGGAAUGGCCAUUUGACCUUAUCGUACGCUUUCUCGAAAUCCACCUUGAAAACAACUCCAUCUAAUUUUUCCGAGUGGAUUUCAUGGAGCGUUUCAUGAAGGACCACCACCCCUUCUAGGAUGUUUUUGUCCGGCAUGAAAGCAGUUUGGGAAUGCUGCACCACAGAAUGCGCAAUCUGUGUGAGCCGAUUAGUCCCAACCUUGGUGAAGAUUUUGAAAUUAACAUUGAGAAGGCAGAUCGGCCUGAACUGCUCAAUUCUCACCGCGUCCGUUUUCUUAGGAAGCAGUGUUAUUGUUCCAAAAUUUAAUUGAAAUAACUGAAGUUGUCCAGAGAAUAGAUCAUUGAACAUUGGUAGCAAAUCCCCCUUAAUAAUAGGCCAACACUUUUUGUAAAACUCCGCCGGGAAACCAUCUGGCCCGGGAGCCUUAUUGUUUUUCAUCUCCGCAAUAGCAUCAUACACCUCCUUCUUCGAGAACGGGGCAACCAAAAUAUCAUUAUCAUUACCAGUUAGUUGAGGCACAUCCUCAAUCCUGGACUCAUCGAGGGACACACAACUAUCCUCCGGAGGGCCAAAUAACUGCUUAUAAUACUCGGUUAUAUAAAGUUUUAGGUUGUCCUGUCCUAAAAUAGUUCCUUCAUCUUGUUCAAGCUGAAAGAUUCUCUUCUUUCUGUGCUUGCCAUUAGCAAUCAAGUGAAAGAAUUGAGUGUUCGCGUCCCCCUGGACAACUUUGCGGACCUUAGCCCGCAAUGCCCACUUCAAUUCUUCUUCGCGGAGAAGUUCUUUCAACCUCAUCUCCGCAUUUAGUUUAACCUGACGCUCUGCGGCUUGCAAAAUCAUGGAUUCGGCUUUUAAAUCUAGGGUCUGAAUAAGAGAGAGGAGCCUUUCCUUUUCAACCUUAUAAAUCCCACUAAGGUGCUUAGCCCAUCCCCGUAGGAAACUUCUCAAAUGCCUAAUCUUAUUCUGCCAACACUGAACAGAAGUCCCACCUCCUGCAUCCUUAGCCCAUUCCCUGGCAAUCAGAUCCAAGAAUCCUUCUCGUUCAAACCAUGCCAGGUCGAACGAAAAGGUGUUUUUGUUUCCCACGUGGUUUGGCUCACCUGAGUCCACGAAUAAAGGUGUGUGAUCCGAGAUUCCGCGCGAGAGAGCCUGAACCGUUACGAGAGGAAACUUCUGUUCCCACUCGACGCUCGCGAGGACUCGAUCAAGCUUCUCAUACGUCGGGUUUGGCAAAGCAUUAGCCCAAGUAAACUUUCUGCCGGAAAGCUCUAUCUCUCUCAGAUCCAAGCUUUCAAUAAUGCUAUUGAACAUAAAUGACCAUCUGCCGUCAAAAUUAUCAUUAUUCUUUUCCUCUCUCCUCCUAAUGAUAUUGAAAUCACCCCCAACUAAAAUUGGGAGCUGCUCGGAUCCGCAAAUUCGAACAAGGUCCGCCAAAAACUCCGGUUUAAGCUCGGGCUGCGCGGCCCCAUACACCGCCACCAAAGCCCAGUUAAAUCCAUCAGCUUUGGACCUGACUCGAAACUUAACCGCGAAGUCACCCAUCACUACACUUCGGACUUCCAGCGAAUCACACCUCACUCCAAGCAAGAUCCCACCCGAUCUUCCUCGCGGAGGAAGGCAAUGCCAAUCAAAAUCAACACCGCCCGAUAAAGUGUUGAGAAACUGGGGCGCAAAAUUAUCUCGACCAGUUUCUGAGAGAGCAAUAAAAUCUAAUCUAUGCUCCAGAGACGCCUCAGCAAGAAACCUUCUUUUAGCCAAGUCUUUCAGACCUCUGCUAUUCCAAAAAAUUCCUUUCAUAUUUCAUCAUGAAAUUUUUUGGUAGUCCGAAUCCUAGCACUCCUACGAAUCGCUGAAGUGGGAUAAAUCUUUCGCUUCCACUUGCGUUUGGGUCUACUUUGAUCCUCCAUCCGGUUCUCAUAACCGGACUCAGUGGGUCUAGCUGUAUUCUCCUCUAGAGUUGCAUCCUCUUCCUCCGACUCAGGAGUGGAUGGUGCAAGAUCCGCACAAAGAUUAUCGAGCACACUGACCCCCAACGCAUCAAUCUCUGCAUCGUUCAUGGGUUUUACCGCUGCUAGGUUUCGAAUAGUUUCUAAAGCGCGCUCCGCCUCCAAAUCUAGGAGAUCAUUGACCGAAUUGGAUAUUUCACUAUCAUUACUCCCUAGCAAAACACCUAGUUGGUUUGCAUUAUGAAUAAUCUCCUCAUUAGAAAAAUGCAAAAUUGAAUUAGAUACGUUGACAGACAUACCCAUAGUGACCUCAAUGUCACGAAGCUUGGCCGCCCGCAUAGCGCACCUCUGCUGCAUGUCAUCAACCUCCGGGUGCUCUGGAAACGACAGCUCAUCCGUCGUCCCUCAGAGACCGGGUCUGGGAUCCCACCGAAAGCAAUCACCUCCUCCCAAGUAAAACCUCUCGCUGAAUCCCACGAAGGGUCAGCCAGAGUCACCGGAGGAAGCGGCGGUGGGCUCCCAGGCCCCACAGACGCGUGCCUCAUACCGCGGUCCUGGGCCGCCGGUAAGCCUGGAGAGGGGAACGCGGGGGCCGCCUGCCCGGACGCUCCUCCCGCCCCAACCCUCUGGCCAGAGGAUGCCACCGGUGCCGCAGGAGACGCGGCCUUCCUGGCCGCAAAAGAGGAAGGGGGGUCGAGGCCACCUGCCCCAGACCCCCACCCUGCGCCACUGGAGAAGUGGCCACAGUCGCCGCUGCCGGAGAUGAGGGGACCGAGGCCACCUGCCCCGGACCGACUCCCCCACCCCCGGCCGUCGUCGGCAUCGCCGGCGCCAGGAUAGGAGGAAAGGAAGUCGUGGCCACCUGCCCCGGACUCCCUCCCCUAGAAGCAUCCUCCAUAGACAACACCAUCUCCCGGAACGAGGCUGCUGGGAGAGCGGGGGAAAGAGAAGUCACCUCAGACUCCACCUCCCCUCCCCCCACCAAGGUCAUCGCCGAGCCUCCGAUCAAGGGACCAACAGCAGCAACAGGCUCCAACUCAGGUAGCGUGUGCUCAAACACAUCAUCAGAAUCCACCCGGUCGCUCCAGAGCCUGGGCGGAGCAGAAGCUGGCUCAAACAACCCAAACCGCAGACAGCUCAUAGGCACCGAGGUUGAUGGUGUUGUCCCGACCCUAGGCCCGUCCACGGGCAACUAAGCAACCGGUCCCGACCCGUUGGACCCUUCUCGUUCAGCCUCAUCCGUCGGUGCCCCCUUGGCACCCGCGCUGUCAUCACCCUCAUGCAUAUCCACAUCAGUCCCAUUUAUUGCCUCAGCAAACAGAUCCGCAUACUCAAACUCGAUCUCAAGAGGAAAAACCUCACCUCUGUAGGUCCAGUUGACCACGUCAGGGACAAAAUCAAUGUCAGGAAUGCUCACUAGAAGUCGGGCCACCCCAUGAGCGCGGGUAAAGGCCAUAUCCACUCUCUCAGGUUUUCCAACCAUAAUGCCCAUACUAGCCACAACUCGAGCAUCCUGCAAAGGCUCAGAUGGAGCCCCGGAAAACAGCAACCAAACCUGAGAAAGGGGUUUACCCCGUGGCUCCACCUUCUUCCACUCGUGAAAUUCCAAAAUGCAUUUAGUGCCAGGAACUCAGCACAACCCAAAGCUCAGCAGUUUCUGUAAAUCAUCCAUCGUGGGGAAGUCAACCUUGAACACAUUGGCCUCAGUACUGACAAGCUCCCACUGGAAGUCACCUGGAACCAGUUCCUGAAGCCUCUACACAAUCUGAGCCUCAGAAACCUCUCCCUGGGUAACUUUCACAAUCCCAGUGGUCAAACUCUGUGUCACCACCGGAAUCUCUCUCGCAACCGGGGACUCAAAGAACAUCAACUCAGCACAAUAUACUCCAUACAUUGUAAGAGCCGGAAUGUGAUCACGCAAGAACGGGCAAUCCCCCGUGGCAUGUGAUGGCUUCCCACACGUAUCGCAAAGCUCCGCCACACACUCAGCAAUAAAGUGGCCCUUCUCACCACAUCGAUAACACAACAUCUUCUCCUUCUUACGCGCCCACUUGGACGCUUUCUCCGAGUCUGCCCUGUCUGCCGCCUCAGCUAUAGCCACAGUCCCAGGUACCUCAGCAUUGGCCAGCGCCGUUACGACAUCCAUAGCCUGACUAGACAAGUCCGGCGUCUGACCUGGAUCGGCUGUCACAUCAGUCUGCUCAACGACAACAGGUGGAGGGGGCUGCCGGUUACGGUACCGACCUCGACCACCACGAGGACCCCGGUAUCCACCACGCUGCCGGUAGUCAGGGCCAGACACCCCCUCAACAAAACCACCCGGAGGACCGAGAAAAGGUCUCAGCGCAGAACCAUCACUCUGCCAAGCAUAUCCGCGGCCACCUCCCGUCGAUGACGAACCACGAUGAUGGCCUUCCCCAUACGCAUUGUGACCAUCAUCCCCCCACUGUCCUCGGGGCGGUUCAUUAGUCCCUCCAACAGUCGCGUACUGCGGCGCAUGCGACUGCGCCGGGACAGGCCUUUUUUGCACCGGCCUCGCAACGUAGUGAGGCGGCGGCGCUGCCCGAGGAUGAGUACCGGUCGUGCCGACGUGGUUGGCGAGCGUGGCCGGCCUCGGACCUUGUGCUCCGCCCCGCCCCGCAGAAGCAAUCCCAUCCGUGCCCGGUGCCGACGACCGGGGUCCAAGAGGAGGCCCGCCCCGACCCGCUGCUGGCACCGGCGGCCUAGUCACCGUGGGCAGAGUACCACGAGGCGGACCGCCCCGACCCGCAACUGGUCCAAGCUCGGUUUUGUCUGAAUCUUUGUGGAAGAAGAAGCGGUUCGCCAGCCGCUACAUCCAGGGAUCCCACAAAAUCAUUAAACCUGGCGGCUGCUCGCUCUUUGACCAGUGAUUCACCGGCCACUAGAUCGAUGAAGAAUCUCUCAAAAAUCCGCUUUUUGAUCAGUGAUUCACCAGCCACUACAUUCUUGGAUCCCACCUUAUUCUCAAACCUGGUGGCUCACUUGAUUGGCAGUCCUGUAAGCUCAUCUUGCAUACAAAUUUUGGGGGUACCAGGGCCUGCAUCCACCAAGAACAUUUCUUCCCUUAAGCGUAAGUGUAAAACUGAAGAUUGUGAGGCGUUUACACUACAUAAUAAGAAACUAGAAUUAGAUCAUGGAAAUGAUCGACUCCAAUAGAUGCUCAUCAUAAGCUUUUUUUUCCUCCUAUUCCUAUUGAUCAGAAGUAUCCAGCAGCGCCACACCACUUUCUAAACAAAAGUUUCCAAAAUCCAAUGCGGAACCAAGCUCUUUUCUUUUUCUUGUUAUUUGACUUCUUGGAAUGGAAUUCUUCUCAUGAUAGUCACACAAGCAAAGGAGAAGAGGAUGGGUCCCGAGGGAACUCUUUUUCUUCUAUUCUAAGUUUUGAUUGCACGAGCAGCAUAACAACAUAACAGUUUUGUGUAAGGAAGUAAGGAAAGACUCCUUUCUGAAAUUGAAGGAUGUACAAUGCUUGGAGGGACAGAAGUUUCAAGAGAAAUGGUCUCUUUUGAUGGGCAUUUGUAGAUGAUGGUUGAUACUGCAAACAAUGCCUUCUUGACAGCUCUAGCAUCACCAGUUAUCUAUUAAGCAUAAAGAUACAUUCAAGAUAACAAUUAGCGGAAUAUAAGAAACAAAGAAUAGAUAUUGAAUAAAGAAAAAAAAAGAGCAGAGCCUCAUAACCGUCCUAAUAGAGAUAAUACCACGUUCGUCUUGUUCUUUACGCCGAUCCAACUCGUGCUUUUUAGAAUGGAUUUCACACGGAAUCAAGGGAGGUGCGGGAUACGACCCAUAUCACAUUCCUGUGCUAUAGCUUGCAAAAUCAAAUAAAUCUAUCGAAGCUAGGGUGCCAGG